UACGGAGGGUGCGAGCGUUGUCCGGAAUCAUUGGGCGUAAAGGGCGCGUAGGUGGCCCGGUCAGUCCGUGGUGAAAGCGCGGGGCUCAACCCCGUCGUCGGCCAUGGAUACUGCUGGGCUGGAGCACUGUAGAGGCAGGCGGAAUUCCGGGUGUAGCGGUGGAAUGCGUAGAGAUCCGGAAGAACACCGGUGGCGAAGGCGGCCUGCUGGGCAGUUGCUGACACUGAGGCGCGACAGCGUGGGAGCAACGGG
rnacentral:rRNA from 1 species